GGACGCCCACGCGAAUACGCGAUCCUCCCCUUCCUCCUCCUCCCCACCAACUCGAUCGCGCGUCGCGGAAUCCGGAUGCUCCCGGCGGCGCUGCUCGCCGUCGGCGCAUGAGCUUCCUCCGCGCGCUCGCGGACUCCCUGUCGUCGCUGCUGUACUCGGCGGCUGCGAAGGGGGGAGACAUGGACGGGGCCGCGGCGGCGCCGUCGCCGGCGGCGGUGGUGGGGGAGCGCGUGGCGGUGAAGCUCAGGGGAUACUUCGAGCUGGCCAAGGAGGAGAUCGACAAGGCCGUGCGCGCCGAGGAGUGGGGGCUCCCCGACGACGCCGCCGCGCACUACCGCAACGCGCUCCGCGUCAUGCUCGAGGCCAAGGCCGCCCGCGUCCCGGACGCCGUAUCCUCCAGCGAGAGGGGGCAGGUUAGGGUCUACCAGGAGAAGAUCGCAAAGUGGCAGACUCAGGUGGAGGAACGACUCCGGGUGCUCGGCCAGAGGAGUGGAGCGGCUGCACCAGUGCCAAAGAAGGUUGUUACAAACAAUCCUGUUAAUAGGAAUGACAGAGCCGCAUCAACUAGCUUCCAUAGGCCUACUUCGCAGCCUAGCCCUACCUUUAAUAGAGGUGGUCAAGCAUCUUCUCAUCAGAAGAGUAGCAGUGGAGGUGCCAAACCUGUGCAAAGAGCUGGUGCAAACUAUGAUGAUAAGCUUGUUGAAAUGAUAAAUACGACCAUUGUGGAUAGAAGUCCUGCUGUUAAAUGGGAAGAUGUUGCUGGCCUUGACAAGGCAAAGCAAGCACUCAUGGAAAUGGUCAUUUUACCUACCAAGCGAAGGGAUUUGUUUACUGGUCUUCGGAGGCCUGCUAGAGGGCUUCUUCUCUUUGGUCCCCCGGGGAAUGGAAAGACGAUGCUUGCCAAAGCUGUUGCAUCAGAAUCUGAAGCAACAUUUUUUAAUGUUUCAGCUUCUUCACUGACAUCAAAGUGGGUAGGAGAGGCUGAAAAGCUUGUACGGACACUCUUCAUGGUCGCUGUCGAUAGACAACCAUCUGUAAUUUUUAUGGAUGAGAUUGAUAGUGUCAUGUCAGCAAGGUUAGCUAAUGAGAAUGAUGCUAGCAGGCGGUUGAAAUCUGAAUUUCUUAUCCAGUUUGAUGGGGUCACUUCAAACCCUGAUGAUCUUGUUAUUGUUAUAGGUGCUACCAAUAAGCCACAAGAGCUGGAUGAUGCUGUUCUCCGUAGACUGGUAAAGAGAAUAUAUGUGCCAUUACCUGAUCCAAAUGUCCGAAGAUUACUGCUGAAAACUCAGCUCAAAGGACAAUCAUUCAAAUUAUCCAGUCAUGAUCUUGAAAGGCUUGCUGCAGAUACUGAAGGAUAUUCCGGGAGUGAUCUGAGAGCAUUGUGUGAGGAAGCUGCCAUGAUGCCAAUCAGAGAGCUUGGUCCACAAAAUAUUCUCACUAUAAAAGCAAAUCAGUUGCGGCCCCUGAAAUACGAAGAUUUCAAGAAAGCCAUGACUGUGAUUAGGCCAAGCCUGCAGAAGAGCAAGUGGGACGAGCUAGAGAAAUGGAACGAAGAAUUUGGUUCAAGUUGACACUAGACAAUGGCCUAUCUGAAAGCCUGAAAAGAUCAAAUUCUUGAGAUGCCAUCACAACUGAAACUGAACACACGAGCGAACCAUCAGUUGAUGCCCAGAAUCCAGAUAAGCCAUCUCAUGAUUGGAGAAGAAUGAUUGGUGGUGGCCAAUUGGUGAGGCGACGAGGAGCUAAUCAUGUCCCGGACGAAGCCAGCGUCGCGAUCGCCAUGGCAGCAGCAGCAGGUGGACGUUUACUCAUCCGCAUGGCCCAUUUAGCGCCCCCAUUUGCGAUUUUUCGCAGCAUCACGGAGAAAAGAAAAGAAAAGAAAAGGCGCGGAUGGACGCAAUGCAUGUGCCGUCGCACAGAGCUGGAUCUCGCAGCAGCAGCACCACACCACCUAUGAUGACAUGUGAGCUGGGACGAAGUUCACAUGCUGGCGAGGGGCCCACCUGUCAGUGAGUGAUUGCAAACCGCCGAUAUCCGAUGACACGCGGCGAGAGUUUACUGAACUCGACCAAUUACAUCAAGAUGAUACAACCGUCCUGAGAAUGCUUCUGAUCCCUGUAUAGAUAAGAAAUUGGAGAAUUUAGGCUGCAGUGGCAGCUGCGAGCUACUCGUGACGGGUUUGAUAAGUAGAUUUGGUUGUCGGGUCGGCUGGUGUCGGUGAUGGCGAUGGAGGCAGAGGAGGGAGCAGUGAUUUUUAAGUUGGGCGGCCGAGUUAGUUAGGAGGAGUGAUGUCCAUCCACAGUGUCGCCAAAGACUUGUUCUUCAUGGCCAUGUGACAAGGAAGGAAGGAAGCAGAUCAGGCUGGGAUCAUCAAUGCAAUCCUGGCUUAGGAUUCUUGUUUUGGUGAGCUGACCACCACUUGACCAGAGUAAUUAAGCCAAUUAAGAUGGUUAUUACUACUACUACAAUCACAUUCUCUGGUCUCUCUCCACAGAUAGUGAUCUGAUCUGAUCUGAUCAGAUGCAAAGUUGUUGCUGUAACUGAAAAGCCAUAUCUUUUCCUCUCAGCUCUACAGCAGCUAUCUUCUGUGCAAGAUAUUCAGAGAGGGAAUAUGUGUCACUGUGUGGCUUUGGCCUGCAAACGCCUACUAAUCCUGGGGAAUUGCAGUGGCAAUGGUGAAUGGUUCUGAUAAUCCUGUUUUGUGCUGAGGUGUGGGGCCUGUGGUGAGGGCCCAGUUGUCUGUGCUCCACUGGUGGGUGGGCCAGGUUACUUGGAUCAGAAUGUUCCUCUUCUCCUACAUACCCUGGCUGGUGAUGAUGUGGAUCUCAGGUUCAGCAGUUUCAGCACCAAUUGCAGGUUUAUGGUAUCAUCUUGACGCCAUAUCCCAAUGCCCGAAUUUCAAGGGAUUCAGAACAUUGCAGGGGAGCCUGAAACCUUCCAAGGAAUUGCCAUGAGACCCAGAGAAGAUGGUAAAAAUUUCUCUCUACUGUUGCAGCAAGCUGGUCCCCUACCACAUGCCUCUCUCCUGUUGCUGCAGCUCUUCACAUUGCCAAAAACCGGUGCCAUGUAAUCGUACCCAGUUCAGUUCAGAUCCACUCAGAGCAAUCAGCAAUGCAAAUGGGCUGGCUGAUCUGAUCAUCUCCAUGGUGUUCUUGGCAGCAAGAAAACGAGAACCAAACCAAGAACAACAUGGCAGCAGCAAUGGUGUUCCAUGGAUGGCAUUGCAAAUCGAUCUCCACAAUGGCAGCAGCAACCUUUUGACUAGUCCAGAAUAAGGCACGCAGCUCUUGUCCUCCCAUGUCUCCUGGCUGGAUGAUGCUAUUGCUGCCGCUGCUGCAAUUGCUUAUUUACCCACUGGUCAUGGCAUGCAUGUAUUUUUAUGUAUGUGAUGUGUCCCCAUGCUCUGUUUGUUACUACACAACAGUUAUAAAGGUGCAGCUCCUUUGCAUACUUCUGGCAAAAAACUUUCACCCAAAGCAAAAGAAAGAGAUUCAUCAGCAAUGUCAUGGAUUCAUUGAAGGCAAAGAUUUGAUGCAUCCUGUUGGCAAUUGCUAAACACAACUUAGAGAGAGAGAGAGAGAAUGAGAAAGAUAGAGUCUUUGGAAUGUUCAUAUUUGUUUGGUUGUGGUGUGUCAUGUGCAUGAAUGAAUCUGCUGCCUGCUGUAUGGCUAGCUGAGCUGAGCUGCCCUGACCCUUGUGUUUAAUUUUUUUUCUCUGAUCU